rnacentral:rRNA from 1 species
UACGAAGGGGGCUAGCGUUGUUCGGAAUUACUGGGCGUAAAGCGCACGUAGGCGGACAUUUAAGUCAGGGGUGAAAUCCCGGGGCUCAACCCCGGAACGGCCUUUGAUACUGGGUGUCUUGAGUUCGGAAGAGGUGAGUGGAAUUGCGAGUGUAGAGGUGAAAUUCGUAGAUAUUCGCAGGAACACCAGUGGCGAAGGCGGCUCACUGGUCCGAUACUGACGCUGAGGUGCGAAAGCGUGGGGAGCAAAGCAGG